rnacentral:rRNA from 2 species
GAACUGAAGAGUUUGAUCAUGGCUCAGAUUGAACGCUGGCGGCAGGCCUAACACAUGCAAGUCGAGCGGAUGACGGGAGCUUGCUCCUUGAUUCAGCGGCGGACGGGUGAGUAAUGCCUAGGAAUCUGCCUGGUAGUGGGGGACAACGUUUCGAAAGGAACGCUAAUACCGCAUACGUCC